rnacentral:rRNA from 1 species
UAAUGUCUGGGAAACUGCCUGAUGGAGGGGGAUAACUACUGGAAACGGUAGCUAAUACCGCAUAACGUCGCAAGACCAAAGAGGGGGACCUUCGGGCCUCUUGCCAUCGGAUGUGCCCAGAUGGGAUUAGCUAGUAGGUGGGGUAACGGCUCACCUAGGCGACGAUCCCUAGCUGGUCUGAGAGGAUGACCAGCCACACUGGAACUGAGACACGGUCCAGACUCCUACGGGAGGCAGCAGUGGGGA